GUAUACGAUCUCUGCGACCAAAACCAUUUUUGGCUUUCUUCUUCUUCUGUAAUUUUUCUCCUAUGCGACCAAAACCAUUUUGGGUUAGAUACAGAUACAUUUCUUCUUGACAGACCUCGUUUCUUAACAAUGUUGGUUUUGAUGUAUCACAACCUCAGCGAUUUUGACGAUUACCUUUUCCCAAGCAGCGGACGAUUCUUUUUUCCUAAGCAACGAUUCAGGCAUUCGUACUCUCGAGAUGCAGGUUUUACUUGUAGUUAUCACUCCUGUUCUCAUACGCUCCUCUUGACGAAGACAUAAAUCAGGUAUACCAUCGAUUUAGGUUUGAUGUUGUUCCUCUCGCUUCUCUGUUUGAUUUCAUAUCGAUUCAUACUCUCCAACACAAAUCAGGGUCACAGAUGAUUGUUUUUUUAAACAUAAGUUCUUUCCAUGUUACACAUAUUACAAGCCGGAUAACUACGAAGAUCUCUGAUUGGAGUUCACUCCCCUGCUUUUCAGCUAUCUGGAACGAUACUUGCCCCCAAACCUCUUGAAUGUUCCUCGAGAUACAAAGUAUAAAUACAUGCUGGACAUUCUAUAUCGUUAUUCGACUGAAGGAGAGCGCACUCGAGACCAGAAGCACAGAGAAUACAGG